GAUGAACGCUAGCUACAGGCCUAACACAUGCAAGUCGAGGGGCAGCAUUUUUCCAGCUUGCUGGAAAAGAUGGCGACCGGCGCACGGGUGAGUAACACGUAUCCAACCUUCCGUUUACUCAGGGAUAGCCUUUCGAAAGAAAGAUUAAUACCUGAUAGUAUCGAGAGAUUGCAUGAUAGCCCGAUUAAAGAUUUAUCGGUAAACGAUGGGGAUGCGUUCCAUUAGCUUGUUGGCGGGGUAACGGCCCACCAAGGCAACGAUGGAUAGGGGUUCUGAGAGGAAGGUCCCCCACAUUGGAACUGAGACACGGUCCAA
rnacentral:rRNA from 1 species